AGUGAACGCUGGCGGUAGGCCUAACACAUGCAAGUCGAACGGCAGCACAGUAAGAGCUUGCUCUUACGGGUGGCGAGUGGCGGACGGGUGAGGAAUACAUCGGAAUCUACUUUUUCGUGGGGGAUAACGUAGGGAAACUUACGCUAAUACCUCAUACGACCUACGGGUGAAAGCAGGGGAUCUUCGGACCUUGCGCGAUUGAAUGAGCCGAUGUCGGAUUAGCUAGUUGGCGGGGUAAAGGCCCACCAAGGCGACGAUCCGUAGCUGGUCUGAGAGGAUGAUCAGCCACAGUGGAACUGAGACACGGUCCAGACUCCUACGGGAGGCAGCAGUGGGGAAUAUUGGAAAAUGGGCGAAAGCCUGAUCCAGCCAUACCGCGUGGGUGAAGAAGGCCUUCGGGUUGUAAAGCCCUUUUGUUGGGAAAGAAAAGCAGCAGGUUAAUACCCCGCUGUUCUGACGGUACCCAAAGAAUAAGCACCGGCUAACUUCGU
rnacentral:rRNA from 1 species